rnacentral:lncRNA from 1 species
AAAUAAGUUUUUAACAUUAUUAAUAAAAGAGAAAAAAUAAACAACAAUUAUAAUACAUUUUGAAUUGAAUAUAUUUUACGUAUUCUACGUAUUUCAAUGCACGUAGUGAAUAUAAGAACUAAAAUAUUUUUGAUAUAAAUGUAUUAUAAGUAUUAUAUACAUGUGAAUUUCAAACAUUUCACUAUAAUUUAAAUUAGCUUACGUUGUUAGAAAUGUUUCAUAUAUGUUAUGAAAUAAUAACUAUCAAUUCAUAAUAAUGUAUAAUACUGAAUUCGAAUUGUAUUACAAUGAUUUUAUCACCACCACCAGACCCUAUUUUAUCUGGUUAACAAAUAACAACAUUGUAAACUACAACAACCUCCAACCACAACGUCAUUGUCUUUUUCCACCUCAAGCCACUGAAAUCCAGCAAUCAAUUGAAAAAACACCACAACCACCUACCUCCAUUCUUCUUCGUCACUAUCAAUGAGCCACCGUCACCAAACUUCAACCAGAGCUCCACUACUACCGACCUACCCAUCACCUCCCUUUUUCUAUUUUUUUCGGCGAACCAGCCACCUAACUACCCUCCUCUUCACCGGCAAAUUCACGAUGUUAGAGCAACCAACAACUUCACUAUCCACUCCAUUUCUCUUCCUUCACCCAAUGUCGCCUCAUUUUUCCUUUCCCUUCCAGCUUUGACCUCCAUAUCAAGCUUGCUGGAAAUCAUCAAAACGCCAUAGCCAACAUAACAUUGAUGAAAUCCAACAAUUCCAUCUAGAUUUGGAUAAUUUCGGUUAGAUCUAGAUGUUUCGUUACACCGACAUUAAACAAUUUCUAUUAGAUGUGGAUAUUUUUUGUUUGCGUGACGGUGGUGGUGCGGAGGAUUGAGAAGAAGAGGAUGUAGUGACGUUAGGUGUUGUGGUGGUUGUUAUAGUCGGAGCUCCAACGGGGAUGUUUGUAAAAAAAGAUAAUAAAAGGGGAGAAAAGCUAUUAAUGAUAAAAGUAGGUUAUAAUUUGUAUAGGAAAAUAAAAGUUGUAUCAUUUAAAAUAAUAUUAAUACCUUUAAAAAAUAUUUUUUAGUUAAAAAUCCGUCUCUUUUUUUCUUGGGCCAACAACAUUUUUUAUUACAAAGAUCACAAAUAUAAAUCUAAAAACUAACGUACUGAAUUAAAUUAUAUGUGCAAAAUAUAUAUUAAUUUAAUAAUAACGAAAUAUUAAAUUUUCCCGUUGGCUUAGUGUGAUGAUACUGACCAAAAGCUAAUAAGUAAUUGACAACUAAAGUUCCAACUGUGAAACAAGUUUAUUGCUCCUAUUAAAACAAAAUUAGUUAUAGCAUUUUGAGUAAGGUAUUUCGUCACUCGCGAGUAGUAAUUUAAAAUUACAAGGAUGGUUUUGCUUUCGUACGAUUUAAAAUUUAAUUUUAUUAUUUACAAAUAUAUUUGGAU